rnacentral:rRNA from 1 species
UACGUAGGGGGCGAGCGUUGUCCGGAUUUAUUGGGCGUAAAGAGCUCGUAGGCGGCUUGGCAAGUCGGGUGUGAAACCUCCAGGCUCAACCUGGAGACGCCACUCGAUACUGCUAUGGCUAGAGUCCGGUAGGGGACCACGGAAUUUCCGGUGUAGCGGUGAAAUGCGUAGAUAUCGGGAGGAACACCAGUGGCGAAGGCGGCUCACUGGCCCGGUACUGACGCUGAGGUGCGAAAGCGUGGGGAG